rnacentral:rRNA from 1 species
CUUGGGAGAAUGCUUCUUAUUUUAAGUAGAGGUAAGUAUUCAUGAAAUUUGAAUAUAAUUCUAGGUAAAAAAUUGAUAAUGACAAAGUUUUAUCUAUUUGUCUUGACCAAAUCUUGUGCCAGCAGUCGCGGCAACACAAGGAAGACAAGUGUUAUUCAUCUUAAAUCGGUUUAAGGGGUACCUAGACGGUAAAUUACGCCAUAGUAGGAACGUUUUUACUAGAGUUAUACAUGCAUGGGGAUUGUGUCAGUAUUACCAGAGUAGAGAUGAAAUUUUUUGAUACUGUUAAGACUGGUAAAGGCGAAAGCAAACCUUUAUAUAUUAACUGACGUUGAGGGACGAAGGCUUGGGGAGCAAACAGGAUUAGAUACCCUAAUAGUCCAGGCAGAGAAUUA